GAUGAAGAACGUAGCGAAAUGCGAUACGUAGUGUGAAUUGCAGAAUUCAGUGAAUCAUCGAAUCUUUGAACGCACAUUGCACCUCUCGGUAUUCCGGGAGGUAUGCCUGUUCGAGCGUCAUUUGUACCCUCAAGCUCUGCUUGGUGUUGGGUGUUUGUUCCGCCUCUGUGUGUGAACUCGCCUCAAAACAAUUGGCAGCCGGCGUACUUGUUUCGGAGCGCAGCACAUUUUGCGAUCCAGAUCAACGUACAGCGGCAUCCAAGAAGCCUCAUUUAACGCUCUUGACCUCGGAUCAGGUAGGGAUACCCGCUGAACUUAAGCAUAUCAAUAAGAGGAGGA
rnacentral:misc_RNA from 1 species